UACGUAAGGGCCGAGCGUUAUCCGGAUUUACUGGGCGUAAAGCGCACGUAGGUGGUCUAUUAAGUUGGGUGUUAAAUCCAUUGGCUUAACCAAUGUACGCACUCAAUACUGGUAGGCUUUGAAUAUAGGAGAGGGAAGUGGAACUCACAGUGUAGCGGUGAAAUGCGUAGAUAUUGUGAGGAACACCAGUGGCGAAGGCGACUUCCUAGACUAUUAUUGACGCUGAGGUGCGAAAGCGUGGGGAGCAAACAGG
rnacentral:rRNA from 1 species